CAGAAACACCCACCUAACCUUAACCUAACGACAAAUUGUCAGUAGUUUCCGUUGUGGGGAAAAGAUCAGUUAGAAACAAUUAAGUCGGUCUGUGCAGCAGCUUAAAUCAGAAACGACACUAAUACGUCUUCCGGGAACACCGAAAGGAGAUCCACGCACCGAUCCCUGCUGUUUCUCUCUCCCGGCUCGUUCUUCUUAUCCCUCGUAAUAAUAAUUACCAACACACCGCGGUGCAGGCACACCGAGAAACCAACGGCAGCAGCAACACGGAACGAACAGCUAUCUAAAAGCUGUUGUACGUCGAUAAUGGUUCGAUGAUAGCAACGAACGUGUUAAGAGCGAAGAAGACUUGGAUGGUGAGAGUUAAGAUUUUGCAGCUUUUCUACAACGCACGUGAAGGUAGAGGAAGAAAGGAUCGAAUACGUAUGGACUACAUGUCUUAACGACACGCAGCAAAUUGCAGUGUUACGAACUGUCCACUGAAUCUCUUUCGAUUGUAACAGCGCGGCAUAUCUUACAAUUCGUUGCAGUCAUGUCUGUCAAAUUUCGAGGCUCACCUCGAGUAGUCAGUCGAGCAUGAUAGUUUAUUGUUCCAGUAUACGAGUGUACGAACACUAAUAUAAACACAAGCCAGUUCUAUGGCGUGUAUGGUGUACAAUUCUGGUUUACGGUACGCUUGAACAUUCUCUGUGCAGAGCACAAUGCAUAUACGUUAUGUAUGUAUAUAAAAGAAGAAAAAGAAAGGGAGAGAGAUGCCUCGGAGGUGUUACGGCGUAACUCCGUCAUUAUCCUCGGCGGCCGUGAUCGUCCGGGGAAAAUUAUAUUCAGAUGAGAAGGAAAUCAAUUCCACGAUAGAAUCGGCGAGCCUUCGAUUAGAACCGAAGCUGGUGCGGGAAAUGCAACGGAAAGUGGAUUAAAUUCCAACGGAUGUUUCUUUUUCGAGUAUUACCGUCGAGAACAUUGCUUCCUCCGAGGCCAGGUUGUCUUCGACGCUUCCAGUCGAUGAGUCAUUUAAAAUAUUUCUGAAAAUAUCUGAAACGUCUUAUAUUUUCUUCUUUCUUUUGUACGACGAGCAAGCGUUCGUUAAUUUUAAUGUCACGCUGAG